UUCAUAAAGCUUGCUUUAGGAAGUGACUUAGUGGCGGACGGGUGAGUAACGCGUGGGUAACCUGCCUUGUACUGGGGGACAACAGUUGGAAACGACUGCUAAUACCGCAUAAGCGCACAGCUUCGCAUGAAGCAGUGUGAAAAACUCCGGUGGUGUGAGAUGGACCCGCGUCUGAUUAGCCAGUUGGCGGGGUAACGGCCCACCAAGGCGACGAUCAGUAGCCGGACUGAGAGGUUGAACGGCCACAUUGGGACUGAGACACGGCCCAGACUCC
rnacentral:rRNA from 2 species